rnacentral:miRNA from 1 species
UUUACAUGUACGUGUUCAUGUGCGUGUGCAUGUACGUGUGCAUGUGUAUGUAUA